GUUGAGAGCAUCGGUUCGCUCGAUUCACGUUCAGUUGAUUAGACGGGUUCUCGGCAGAUGGUCGCGGUUUUAGCUUCGCUCGUGGUCCACAAACUGCGUGGAUAUGAAAGAAAGUGCCGGUUGUGUGUGCUCUUUCGGUGCUCGUAGUGAAAAUUUGUGAUGUUUUGUAACAUGAAGAAGGGAAGAUAAUCGAGCAUUGCGUUGAAAAAAGCGGUUGUGAUCGAGUGUUCAAGCAAUUAAAAAUUAUUUCAAUCUUGUGACAAAAUAUAGAAAAAGUGAAAAAAUUCAAGUGUUGUACUGCAAAACUUAUCUUAAGAGUGGUCGCAUGGAUGUCUGUGAUCUACUUAAGCGCACCAUAUAAGCAAGCAUGAAUGAAAUUAAAAUUACCAUGUCCAACAAUAUUGAAUGGUGAUUAGCUGUGGCUACGAGACUCGAUCCAUGGGCGUAAUUGGAGAGUGGAUAAUAAAUCGAUGUCACCACAGCGCUGCCUUCCAGUAGAAGUUGUCUUCCAGCUGUAAUCAAUUGACUCAGCACUCUUGGAUUUCUCUGCACUGCAAAAAUUUCUGCCACCAUAGUGAUUCUGAUUACUACGUUUAUUUUCGGUGCAGAGGUGCAUACGAAAUCAGGUCAAUUACUUCCAGUCGCGCUGAUUCGAAAAGUGAACCGGCACUAUCGCCCUUCGAUCAAGGCUGAUUAACGGAACCGAGAUGAAAUCUUUGCACGAAAUGGACACCGGUGGAUACAUAAACGAAGAUGAUGAAUUGGAGCCGGUUAUGGAAGAUGAAGGUAAUUGAGUUUUCCCUUCGUUCGCUUUGCCGGGCCAAAAGGUAAAUGUGUGGCACCCAGGCGGAGUUGGCUUUUUAAUCGAUGCUCUGAAUUAUUGCAUGCUGACGGUGAUUCCGUCCGACCGUGCCGACUAUCUAUAAUGUUACCAGUAAGCCAAGCCACGGUGUAUCUUUACAUUCUUGAAAAACAAAAUAAUGAAAAAAGCCACAGAAAAACCUUCGCGAUCGUUUUGCAUGUGCAUGUUUUGUUGUUUUUUAUGUUUAAUUACCUGCGGUAUACACUGCUAGACAAUUUUCUAUAAUGUACACUUCUGCGAAGAGGGUCGUAAAUCUGGCGCGUGAAUGUUCGUGAAUGUCGUGGUUCCUCCCUCCUUUGCGAUUAUCAUUUGCGUGAAGGAAGAAGCUAGGAUGUGGUUAAAGUGUUUUUACUGCUGUUUUCCCACUAGAAAUGAUCGUAAAUCGCCGCCGCGGUAAUCUAUUUUGCUUGCCUGUUUGAAUGGGAAGAUAAAGCUAGCUUCUGUCGGUUUACGAUUGUACUAAUUCACAAUCGAUUAGCCUGUGUUAAGUUUUCAUUUACGCAUUUCAGCCGCAUAUCUAUGAACCGAUUAGGGAGAUAAGUAACACGGUGUCGCAAAAAUGUGACGUUUGUUUGUAGAUUAGUAGGCUACAGCUAGUUAUUCAAACAUAUGUUUUCACUUAAAUAUAUGUAUAGGAGUUUUAUGUUUAUACAGCUAUCAAUUUAUUCAUAGGUUCACAAAGAUUUCUCAUUUAUUUAUGCGUUGAAUCUUCGUUUUGAUUUCUAAAUGCAUGUUAAUGUUAGCAAAUUGUCAGCGGAUGGAAAACAUUAAAUACCAACUACUUUGAAUUUCAUUUGGCAUUUGAAGCAAAUUUGGGAACGAUUCGCGACUUUGUUUGCUUUUCCCAUGAAUUAAAAUGGAAACCUGAUAUAGCUGAUGGAUUCUAUUUGCUUCCAACUGAAGCCAUUCACAGCAUAUCGACACGUGACACGAAGCAUAACAAGGCAUCGUAUAUUAAAAUGUCAACAGAAAUGUGUCGUCGAAUGUAAAUACUAUUUCUUUGUGGAGUUGCAUCUUUUUGUCUUUAUUAACUAGAUUUUUAACAUAAGGCUAGUUUAUAUUGGGGGAAUUCAAAAUGAUGGUCUAAGACAAGUUACUGAUAAAAAACAUCUCAUAUAUUAGUUACAGUUUAUAUCAUGUGGGCGUUUAUUUAUAUAGCUUGAAGCAUACUUUUGA